ensembl:lncRNA
GAGGACUUGUCAAGCUCUGGAGUCUGACUGCAUUUCUCAGGAUCCACCUGACCUUCUUGCUCUCCCGAGGUGAAUAAGAAUAUAAGAAAUAAGAAAUGAAGAAUAAACCACUUCUGGUUUCUGAAGAGUUCUGCCUGAAAUCUUGGGUUUAAAACCAGGAAACAAGGAGCAGAAGCCCUCCUUUGUCAUGAGAGUCCUGUAACUUCCCAGGUGAUCGCCAGUGGGAAAUCGUUGGGCCUUUUGCAGGUCUCUGUGAAGCACACACAAAGGUCCCGAGAAGAUGCAUGCAGUUGGUCCACACCUCUCCUGGAGUGCCACAGGACCCCCCCCUGAGAUCUUGCCAGGGCCUGGCAGUGCUCUGCAG